UGUCUAGAGUCAAUUCGAAUGUGAAGUUAUUAGAGCCGGUAUUCUUUUCUGAUGCAACAGAGAUGGUGGCAAUGCCGACCAUAUUCAAUAACAAUCUAUAAAGUUUCUGUCGCAGCGCCAUAGAGGACGAGAGGCGAGAGAUGGUUUCACAUUUACAAUUGAUUGCUUCAUUGUUCUAGACUGCUUUGGACGCUAUGCAUUUGGCUGACGGCUGCGAGUAGUUUUCUCGGUUCGGGUUUCUCUGGUGGAGAAGCUUUCUGAACGCACCCCUAACUACGAGAACCAGUCGCGAACACGCAACUAUCAAAUACCAUUAACUAAUUAACACAUCUUUUGUCCGUCUACACUGGCGUUUUUUGGAAAGGACUGCCACGGUCGUGAUGCACGCGGAAAGGUCAGGGACCGAGUUAUUGAAUUGUUUUCUAUUACGCUUCGAGUGAACUCCGACCGAACCCGUGUUGACCGAUUGAACUGUUCACUGUUGACUGAGCAGGUUGUGCUUCAAGGGAUAAAUUCUACGUAAACCCCUUUUCGAAGCCGGCCCCGGUGGAACAAUCAUAAAUAGCGUGGGAGAAUUUCUGCCAGCUGCACUACGAAUCAUUAAAGUACGCGUAUACGUAUUUCGGGCUACGCUGAAUCGAUGCAGUCGCCACUGGCACGCACGAGAAGGGGUAGUUUAAUUAGGCUCACUGUUUACAGUUCGUGUGUGUGUGGUUUACUUUGAUUGAUAAGUCUGCCUUGGAUAGAGGACGGGCGCGUGACUUGUAAUAGAAUAAAUCGUGCAAUUCAAUGGAAGGUUCGAGUCAGCAACUUGGAUAGAAAAAGUGGAUUUUUCGGUGCUCGUCUUUUAUCAGUAAUGUUGUUCAUCGAACUGGAGAUAUACUGCAUGAACUUGGUUGGCAUGCAUGGUUGGCUGUGGAGUUUGUCAAUAAAGAAGGGUCAAGUUCCAUAGAAACAACAAAACUCAAUGUUUUGCCUUCAUAUGAGUGAAAAUCAAAAAGUUCCCUUGAGUGUAAAAACUUGCUCAAUUUUGAAUCCCGAAGUAUUGUAAGUAGUCGAGCAGCGCCCCUUGUGGUCGGGUUUGAAAUGCUUCGAAGACUAUUUAUUUGGAAACUAUUCACCAAUGUUUCAUAUCGAUACAUGAAGCUUAAAAAAGUUGUGCUAAAUGGAAGACGAAGGAAAAAUAAUUCUGAUGACGGAGGUUGUACGAGAAGGUUCUGGCAAAAUAUAAAGAAUGCUUGUUUAUGGACGAUGAAACAUACGUGAAGAUGGAUUUAGAACAACUUUUCGGACGCCACCGUACGGGAUGAUGUCCCUGCCAAGCUAUAAAUAUGAAUGGAAGCUUUUGUCAUAAACAAGACGAUGAAUUCAACGGUUUGCAAUCAAGAGUGCAUUGAAAGGAAGUUCUAGCGUUUGUUCAGGCAAACAGAGGUCCUGUUACGUUUUGGCCGGAUUUGGCAUGCUACCACUACAGCCGGUAGGUAGUUCAGUGGUACCGUGAUAACAAAGUCACGGUGCUCCCACAGACCGUUAUUAUAAAAAAAAACA